GUGAGUUGAGAAUCCGGCGAUCUUAUUUCGUAGUCUCUUAGAGGGAAUAAUGGCAACUUCUUCGAGGAUCUUCUUGUUCGUAUGGAAGUCGAGGGUCAUGCGCGAGUAGUAGCGCUCAAUAACUUGACGGGAAGAUUUCUUCACUGUUUUGGUUCGAACGCGACCCAUGUUGCUGCCGUAGGAAUAGUCUGCAGGCGGAAAGUGUGUUCAGGCGACGGCGGAAGAAGAGGCGG
rnacentral:misc_RNA from 1 species